UACGUAGGUGGCAAGCGUUGUCCGGAUUUACUGGGUGUAAAGGGCGUGUAGCCGGGCUGACAAGUCAGAUGUGAAAUCCGGGGGCUCAACCCCCGAACUGCAUUUGAAACUGUUGGUCUUGAGUAUCGGAGAGGCAGGCGGAAUUCCUAGUGUAGCGGUGAAAUGCGUAGAUAUUAGGAGGAACACCAGUGGCGAAGGCGGAUGACUGGACGGCAACUGACGGUGAGGCGCGAAAGCGUGGGGAGCAAACAGG
rnacentral:rRNA from 1 species